rnacentral:rRNA from 1 species
AUACCCUAUUAUUUUUAAUGUAAAAUGAAUUAAAUCUGAGUAUUAAUAGUUAUGUUCUUAAAACUUAAAGAAUUUGGCGGUAUUAUAGUCUGUUUAGAGGAAUCUGUUAUGUAAUUGAUAAUCCACACUGAACCUUACUUAUAUUAUAAUUUUUGUAUACCGCUGUUUGUUGAAUAUACUAUUAGGUGAAUUUUCUGGAUAUGAUAAUAAAUAGGAUUUCAAGUCAAGGUGCAGUAAUAUAUAAGUUGAAUAAUGGAUUACAAUAAGUUUUAUUUAUUACGGAUUGUCAUAUUAAAAUUGAUUAUGAAGGUGGAUUUAAUUGUAAUUUUAUGUAGAUUAUUAAAAUGAUUAUAAGCUCUAUAAUAUGUACACAUCGCCC